UGUUUUUUUUAUGGUUAAAAUAUAAUGGUUGUUCCACACUUUUAUUUAGAUUCAAAAAUAACAAAUAACGUUUUUGUCGUUUUAGUGUUGGUGUAUAUGAUAAGCAAUAAUGUUAUGGCUUGUAAAUUGAAUAGAAAAUUGAGUUUUCUACGCAAUGAUGAUAAUAGUUCAUAUCACUUUGAGUUAUCCAGUAAACCAGUGGAAACAACUACAGAAUGCAUUGAAGAAGGACCUAUAGUUCUACAGCCUGUAUACAUAAAACUAUUCAGAUAUGCAAAAAGACCAAGGAAUUUACGAGCAGCAAAACUCAAUCACAGACGAUAUUUUAAUAAUUAAAAUAU